rnacentral:sRNA from 1 species
GGGAGGCAUUGAUAGUGUUGACAGAAGAUAGAGAGCACAGAUGAUAAGAUACAAUUCCUCGCAG